CCCGCUGAACUUAAGCAUAUCAAUAAGCGCAGGAAAAGAAACCAACAGGGAUUGCCUCAGUAACGGCAAGUGAAGCGGCAACAGCUCAAAUUUGAAAUCUGGCCUCUCGGGGUCCAAGUUGUAAUUUGUAGAGGAUGUUUUGGGUACCGCCCCGGUUUAAAUUUCUUGGAACAGAAUGUCAAAGAGGGUGAGAAUCCCGUCUUGGACCGGCGGUAGGGCCUAUGUAAAACUCCUUCGACGAGUCGAGUUGUUUGGGAAUGCAGCUCAAAAUGGGUGGUAAAUUUCAUCUAAAGCUAAAUAUUGGCCAGAGACCGAUAGCGCACAAGUAGAGUGAUCGAAAGAUGAAAAGCACUUUGAAAAGAGAGUUAAACAGUAUGUGAAAUUGUUGAAAGGGAAGCGCUUGCAACCAGACUUGAGCGCGGCGGUUCCCCUAGCCUUUUGGCUAGGUUACUCCGCCGUGUCCAGGCCAACAUCGGUUCUGAGGGUCGGUCAAAGGCCUUGGGAAUGUAUCUACCUACGGGUAGACUUAUAGACCAGGGUGUCAUGCGGCCUCUCGGGACCGAGGAACGCGCUUCGGCUCGGAUGUUGGCGUAAUGGUUGUCAGCGACCCGUCUUGAAACACGG
rnacentral:rRNA from 1 species